CUGAGAGGAAGAUCCAGCCACACUGGGGGACUGAGACACGGCCCCAGACUCCUGACGGGAGGCAGGCAGUGGGGAAUAUUGCACGAAUGGGGGAAAGCCCUGAUGCAGGCCAUGCCGCGUGUGUGAAGAAGGCCUUCGGGUUGUAAAGCACUUUCAGUUGUGAGGAAAAGUUAGUAGUUAAUACCUGCUAGCCGUGACGUUAACAACAGAAGAAGCACCGGCUAACUCCGUGCCAGCAGCCGCGGUAAUACGGAGGGUGCGAGCGUUAAUCGGAAUUACUGGGCGUAAAGCGCACGCAGGCGGUUUGUUAAGCUAGAUGUGAAAGCCCCGGGCUCAACCUGGGAUGGUCAUUUAGAACUGGCAGACUAGAGUCUUGGAGAGGGGAGUGGAAUUCCAGGUGUAGCGGUGAAAUGCGUAGAUAUCUGGAGGAACAUCAGUGGCGAAGGCGACUCCCUGGCCAAAGACUGACGCUCAUGUGCGAAAGUGUGGGUAGCGAACAGGAUUAGAUACCCUGGUAGUCCACACCGUAAACGCUGUCUACUAGCUGUGUGUGUCUUUAAGACGUGCGUAGCGAAGCUAACGCGCUAAGUAGACCGCCUGGGGGAGUACGGCCGCAAGGUUUAAAACUCAAAUGAAUUGACGGGGGGCCCGCACAAGCGGUGGGAGCAUGUGGGUUUAAAUUCGAUGCAAACGCGAAAAAACCUUUACCUACACCUUGACAUGCCGAAGAACUUUUCUAGAAGAUAGAUUUGUUGCCUUUCGGGAAACUCUGAACACAGGUUGCCUGCAUGGGCUGGUCGUCCAGCUUCGUUGUCCUGGAGAAUGUUUGGGGUUAAAGUCCCCGCAAACGAAGCGCAACCCCUUGUUCCUUUAGUUUGCCCAGCCUUUAAGGUUGGGGCCACCUCUAAGGGAGAACUGCCCGGUUGACCAAAACCGGAAGGAAAGGUGGGGGAACGAACGUUCAAAGUCAAUCAUGGGCCCCUUUACCGUGGAAAGGGCUUACCAACCGUGGCUUAAAUAG
rnacentral:rRNA from 1 species